GAGAUUUCCCUUCGGGGACAGUGGUGACAGGUAGUGCAUGGUUGUCGUCAGCUCGUGUCGUGAGAUGUUGGGUUAAGUCCCGCAACGAGCGCAACCCUUGCCUUUAGUUGCCAGCAUUAAGUUGGGCACUCUAGAGGGACUGCCGAGGAUAACUCGGAGGAAGGUGGGGAUGACGUCAAAUCAUCAUGCCCCUUAUGCUUAGGGCUACACACGUGCUAUAAUGGGUGGUACAGAGGGUUGCCAAGCCGCGAGGUGGAGCUAAUCCCUUAAAGCCAUUCUCAGUUCGGAUUGUAGGCUGAAACUCGCCUACAUGAAGCUGGAGUUACUAGUAAUCGCAGAUCAGAAUGCUGCGGUGAAUGCGUUCCCGGGCCU
rnacentral:rRNA from 1 species